CAUCUAUUUUGUGUGUGAAAAGGCAUGACAGUAGUUUGCUCAUCAUGUGAAACAUAAUGGUACAUUUCAGACGAACUCCAGACCAGCCAGUGCAUUGACAGCCGCUAUUGCGUUAGCUAGCUGGCCUCUGACAUUCAUCCUAGCUUUACUAUCAACUAGCUAGCUUUAUCAGGCAGCUUUAGAUGUGAGGGGAAAACAAAUAUAUGUGACCUGAUUCAGGAAACUGGGCGUAUGUCAAAAGUCACAACUUCACAGGAGAGCCGUUUGGCAGAAAUGCAGAACAGGUGGAGAGGGAGUAAGAUUACUAGAAAGCAUGCAUGCUGCCAGACCACCAAAGGACCCUAGAGCUGACAACGUGGUGGCAGGUUUCUUGAUGUUCUGCUCUAGAGUUCCAUGGCCCGGCAGACUCACCUGGGAACAGAGGGAUGGACACGUUCGUUUUUUUUAAAGUCUGGGAGACUUUUAGUGGGAGGAGAGUACAUGUGUUUUGGAGUGAGUACAGUAAAUCCAACCAGUGGCCCUGGAUAAUUGUCACGAUCGUCAUAAUGGACGGACCAAGGCGCAGCGUGAGUUGAGUUCCACAUCUUUAAUUUAAAGUGAAACAUUAAAAAAAAUACAAUAAACAGACAACGACCGUGAUAGCCGGGGUGCAACAUUCACACACACAAAAACAAUAUCCCACAAAGCAGGUGGGAACAGGGAACCCUUAAGUAUGAUCCCCAAUUAGAGACAAUGAACAUCAUCUGCCUCUAAUUGAGAACCAUACUAAGAGCACCAACAUAGAAAUGGAAAAACUAGAACACCCCCCUAGUCACGCUCUGACCUAAACACCAUAGAGAACCAAGGGCUCUCUAUGGUCAGGGUGUGACAAUAAUAUGAUAUGUGUCAUCACACAGACAGACAACAAUAGUGAAGAAGGUUUACAUAGCGCAUCAAGUAUAUUAGCACCAGUGGAGCUUACUUCUUUGGAGAGAUCGCAGGUAGUUGAUCUGAAGGCUCUGGAGGUCCUUGGAAUAUUCUGUCUCUAGCACCUGUAGAGAGAUGGAUAGAGGUACUGAAUGCUCUUGCAAGAGAGUUAAGAUGUAUAUGUUGAUUAUUGAGGACUAUAAGGGUGCCUUCCAAUCAGUCAACUGGAUGAGUAAAAGGGGCAGAGGGUUUCAAGUUGUAUCUUCAUGUCUGUAACUUCACUCUCACUCCUAAGACCUCACCCCUGACCUCCCAAUGGCCCAAAACUCUCUAAUCAAUCUCUCGGACAGGGAGUUACUCCAGGAGUAGACAAGUGUAUGGUGCGUAGGGCUUCUCACUCUGCAUAUGAGUGGAGUAUUAGCUAUAUAUACAGUAUAUAAACAAUAUGCAUGAUUUACUGACAUAGAGUGCUCCAUGUUCUUGCUGGUAGCAGGCCUCAAACUAGAUGCAGGGAAAUGUCCUGUCUUGUAUUAUGAUUGUAUACAUCUUCACCAGGUUCCUGGAAAUCAUAUGACAAACCUGCAUAGAUUAACACAAUAAAAUGGUAACUGUAUUUAGUCAAUUGAAGUCAUGACAGCCAUAGCCA
rnacentral:lncRNA from 1 species